AACCAAAGUACAUGCCCUUGACUGGAGUCGAACCUGGGACCCUUCAUUCCGCAGAGCUGCUCUAUUUUCCUAUUUAUCCAUUAAUUUCUUUGUAAUGAUUUGGUUGGAAUUUUGUUAUUUGGUCGGGGGAGGGUAGAAAAGUCUAAGGCAGAAGUUGAAAGGCAGAAGCCUCCGCUGUGUUUAAAAACUCAGGAGUUUGUUGCCAAUAUUUGAUACUUGGGGGAUUGCACAUAAAAAGCUUGUUUUCAGGGAGCGGGGAGGGGUGUGCUAUAAUUCCUCCCCCACACACUGGAGUCCCUUUCUCACCCUCCCCUCUACUGCACUUCACUGAGAUAAGCCCGCUGCCUGGUCCUGGCCCUGGGAGGCAUUUGAGUUUGCAAGCCUCUGGUACAAAGGGUGGUGUGCACAUUUUUUCACCACUUUCAGUAUUUCCUGUGAAUAUUCUUUGUUGACUAAGAUUGGGUUCUGCCUCCCAACUGAUAAGGACUGGACUGCCAUCCUCCCAGGCCCCUCUGGGCUUCCAUGGCACACGGCUAAGAUAAGCAGCGUCCUUUCCUCUUGUCUAGCAGACAGAAGAGUUGGGUGCUGGAUUGACCUUGGUGUUAGGCCUCCUCCUCAGUGACCAUUACAAGGCCUGAACUCUGGGGUGGGCCUGUCUGGGAGUGGAGGCCCAGGAUUGGGUUAGUGGUGCCGGGAGCCAUUGACCAGGGGCCCCCGGCGGGUCACAGUCUGGGCUCUUGGUACUAAUCUUUCUAACAAGGCAGUUGAACUGCUUCUGGCUUGAAUAGAUGAUUCCUUAGACCUAAUAAAACCGAACGGUGCCUCACUGCUGUCUAAUGCAAACACAACGGCUCUUCCCCUUUCUGUCUUGGGAGCCGGGCUUCUGGGCAAAUGGCGGGAAGCUCUGAAAUAGUCUAGCCUGAAGGUCCACGAGCACCGCCCUGAGGGACAUCUCUGCAACUUUACCGGCUGGUGCUGGGAAGUAUUUAAAAAGAGAUUU